rnacentral:lncRNA from 1 species
UGAAAGGCCACGAACCAGCUAGAUUCUACCAAAGGCAUGGAAUAUGCAAGGAAGAUCCUGCACCAAUCUUGGAAAGAUCUUGAGUCUGCUACUGCACAGCACCCGUGCACUGAAUCUUAUUGUGGGGAGAAGACAUUUUGAAAACAAUCAGAAAUAAUUUUUAUUUGAGGCUGCUCCUUGAAGUCUAGCCGCGGAGUACGUGGUGACGUUUUCCGAACUUCCAGUCUCAUGUCUCUCAUGGACAAACACAAAGUGAAGCGGCAACGUCUAGAUCGUAUAUUUGAAGAAAAGAGGCGAAGUACUUCCCCAAUGGAAAUAAUUGUUUGUCCAAAUUGGAAGCAAUGCAGUGCGAUAGAAUUGCGGUGUAAAGUUUUGUCUUACAUUUCUGAUAUCACAAGCCCUUCGUAA